GGGUUGUGAGGUUAAGCGACUAAGCGUACACGGUGGAUGCCCUGGCAGUCAGAGGCGAUGAAGGACGUGCUAAUCUGCGAUAAGCGUCGGUAAGGUGAUAUGAACCGUUAUAACCGGCGAUUUCCGAAUGGGGAAACCCAGUGUGAUUCGUCACACUAUCAUUAACUGAAUCCAUAGGUUAAUGAGGCGAACCGGGGGAACUGAAACAUCUAAGUACCCCGAGGAAAAGAAAUCAACCGAGAUUCCCCCAGUAGCGGCGAGCGAACGGGGAGCAGCCCAGAGCCUGAAUCAGUGUGUGUGUUAGUGGAAGCGUCUGGAAAGGCGCGCGAUACAGGGUGACAGCCCCGUACACAAAAAUGCACAUACUGUGAGCUCGAUGAGUAGGGCGGGACACGUGGUAUCCUGUCUGAAUAUGGGGGGACCAUCCUCCAAGGCUAAAUACUCCUGACUGACCGAUAGUGAACCAGUACCGUGAGGGAAAGGCGAAAAGAACCCCGGCGAGGGGAGUGAAAAAGAACCUGAAACCGUGUACGUACAAGCAGUGGGAGCACAGAGCAAUCUGUGUGACUGCGUACCUUUUGUAUAAUGGGUCAGCGACUUAUAUUCUGUAGCAAGGUUAACCGAAUAGGGGAGCCGAAGGGAAACCGAGUCUUAACUGGGCGUUAAGUUGCAGGGUAUAGACCCGAAACCCGGUGAUCUAGCCAUGGGCAGGUUGAAGGUUGGGUAACACUAACUGGAGGACCGAACCGACUAAUGUUGAAAAAUUAGCGGAUGACUUGUGGCUGGGGGUGAAAGGCCAAUCAAACCGGGAGAUAGCUGGUUCUCCCCGAAAGCUAUUUAGGUAGCGCCUCGUGAAUUCAUCUCCGGGGGUAGAGCACUGUUUCGGCAAGGGGGUCAUCCCGACUUACCAACCCGAUGCAAACUGCGAAUACCGGAGAAUGUUAUCACGGGAGACACACGGCGGGUGCUAACGUCCGUCGUGAAGAGGGAAACAACCCAGACCGCCAGCUAAGGUCCCAAAGUCAUGGUUAAGUGGGAAACGAUGUGGGAAGGCCCAGACAGCCAGGAUGUUGGCUUAGAAGCAGCCAUCAUUUAAAGAAAGCGUAAUAGCUCACUGGUCGAGUCGGCCUGCGCGGAAGAUGUAACGGGGCUAAACCAUGCACCGAAGCUGCGGCAGCGACGCUUAUGCGUUGUUGGGUAGGGGAGCGUUCUGUAAGCCUGCGAAGGUGUGCUGUGAGGCAUGCUGGAGGUAUCAGAAGUGCGAAUGCUGACAUAAGUAACGAUAAAGCGGGUGAAAAGCCCGCUCGCCGGAAGACCAAGGGUUCCUGUCCAACGUUAAUCGGGGCAGGGUGAGUCGACCCCUAAGGCGAGGCCGAAAGGCGUAGUCGAUGGGAAACAGGUUAAUAUUCCUGUACUUGGUGUUACUGCGAAGGGGGGACGGAGAAGGCUAUGUUGGCCGGGCGACGGUUGUCCCGGUUUAAGCGUGUAGGCUGGUUUUCCAGGCAAAUCCGGAAAAUCAAGGCUGAGGCGUGAUGACGAGGCACUACGGUGCUGAAGCAACAAAUGCCCUGCUUCCAGGAAAAGCCUCUAAGCAUCAGGUAACAUCAAAUCGUACCCCAAACCGACACAGGUGGUCAGGUAGAGAAUACCAAGGCGCUUGAGAGAACUCGGGUGAAGGAACUAGGCAAAAUGGUGCCGUAACUUCGGGAGAAGGCACGCUGAUAUGUAGGUGAAGCGACUUGCUCGUGGAGCUGAAAUCAGUCGAAGAUACCAGCUGGCUGCAACUGUUUAUUAAAAACACAGCACUGUGCAAACACGAAAGUGGACGUAUACGGUGUGACGCCUGCCCGGUGCCGGAAGGUUAAUUGAUGGGGUCAGCGCAAGCGAAGCUCUUGAUCGAAGCCCCGGUAAACGGCGGCCGUAACUAUAACGGUCCUAAGGUAGCGAAAUUCCUUGUCGGGUAAGUUCCGACCUGCACGAAUGGCGUAAUGAUGGCCAGGCUGUCUCCACCCGAGACUCAGUGAAAUUGAACUCGCUGUGAAGAUGCAGUGUACCCGCGGCAAGACGGAAAGACCCCGUGAACCUUUACUAUAGCUUGACACUGAACAUUGAGCCUUGAUGUGUAGGAUAGGUGGGAGGCUUUGAAGUGUGGACGCCAGUCUGCAUGGAGCCGACCUUGAAAUACCACCCUUUAAUGUUUGAUGUUCUAACGUGGACCCGUAAUCCGGGUUGCGGACAGUGUCUGGUGGGUAGUUUGACUGGGGCGGUCUCCUCCUAAAGAGUAACGGAGGAGCACGAAGGUUGGCUAAUCCUGGUCGGACAUCAGGAGGUUAGUGCAAUGGCAUAAGCCAGCUUGACUGCGAGCGUGACGGCGCGAGCAGGUGCGAAAGCAGGUCAUAGUGAUCCGGUGGUUCUGAAUGGAAGGGCCAUCGCUCAACGGAUAAAAGGUACUCCGGGGAUAACAGGCUGAUACCGCCCAAGAGUUCAUAUCGACGGCGGUGUUUGGCACCUCGAUGUCGGCUCAUCACAUCCUGGGGCUGAAGUAGGUCCCAAGGGUAUGGCUGUUCGCCAUUUAAAGUGGUACGCGAGCUGGGUUUAGAACGUCGUGAGACAGUUCGGUCCCUAUCUGCCGUGGGCGCUGGAGAACUGAGGGGGGCUGCUCCUAGUACGAGAGGACCGGAGUGGACGCAUCACUGGUGUUCGGGUUGUCAUGCCAAUGGCACUGCCCGGUAGCUAAAUGCGGAAGAGAUAAGUGCUGAAAGCAUCUAAGCACGAAACUUGCCCCGAGAUGAGUUCUCCCUGACUCCUUGAGAGUCCUGAAGGAACGUUGAAGACGACGACGUUGAUAGGCCGGGUGUGUAAGCGCAGCGAUGCGUUGAGCUAACCGGUACUAAUGAACCGUGAGGCUUAACCUUACAACGCCGAAGGUGUUU
rnacentral:rRNA from 1 species